rnacentral:rRNA from 1 species
AGAAUCAACGCUGGCGGCGUGCCUAACACAUGCAAGUCGAACGAGAAAGUGGUAGCAAUACCAUGAGUAAAGUGGCGCACGGGCGAGUAACACGUGACUAACCUACCCUUGAGUGGGGGAUAACUGAGGGAAACCUUAGCUAAUACCGCAUAAUACCCACGGGUCAAAGGAGCAAUUCGCUCGAGGAGGGGGUCGCGGCCGAUUAGUUAGUUGGCGGGGUAAUGGCCCACCAAGACGAUGAUCGGUA